rnacentral:RNase_P_RNA from 1 species
GAGCCGGACGGGCUGUCGCCGCGGAUCAUCCGAUCCGGGGAGGAAAGUCCGGGCUUCGCAGGGCAGGAUGCUGGCUAACGGCCAGAGCGGGCGACCGCUGGAAAGCGCAACAGAAAGCAGACCGCCGUUCUUCGGAACGGUAAGGGUGAAACGGUGAGGCAAGAGCUCACCGGCUGGCGUGGCGACACGUCAGGCCAGGCAAACCCCAUCCGAAGCAAGACCAAAUAGGGAAACCGGCCGGCCCGGCCCAUGGUUUCCGGGUAGGUUGCUUGAAGGCGCGGGCAACCGCGUCUCUAGAGGAAUGACAGCCGCCGCCUUCGGGCGGUACAGAACCCGGCUUACAGUCCGACUCCU